AGCGAACGCUGGCGGCAGGCCUAACACAUGCAAGUCGAACGAACUCUUCGGAGUUAGUGGCGGACGGGUGAGUAACACGUGGGAACGUGCCUUUUGGUUCGGAAUAACUCAGGGAAACUUGUGCUAAUACCGAAUGUGCCCUUCGGGGGAAAGAUUUAUCGCCAUUAGAGCGGCCCGCGUCUGAUUAGCUAGUUGGUGAGGUAACGGCUCACCAAGGCGACGAUCAGUAGCUGGUCUGAGAGGAUGACCAGCCACACUGGGACUGAGACACGGCCCAGACUCCUACGGGAGGCAGCAGUGGGGAAUCUUGCGCGAUGGGCGAAAGCCUGACGCAGCCAUGCCGCGUGAAUGAUGAAGGUCUUAGGAUUGUAAAAUUCUUUCACCGGGGACGAUAAUGACGGUACCCGGAGAAGAAGCCCCGGCUAACUUCGUG
rnacentral:rRNA from 1 species